rnacentral:rRNA from 1 species
AUACGGAGGGUGCAAGCGUUAAUCGGAAUUACUGGGCGUAAAGCGCGCGUAGGCGGUUUUGUAAGUCGGAUGUGAAAGCCCAGGGCUCAACCUUGGAAUUGCAUUCGAAACUGCAUGACUAGAGUAUGGUAGAGGGAAGUGGAAUUCCAGGUGUAGCGGUGAAAUGCGUAGAUAUCUGGAGGAACAUCAGUGGCGAAGGCGACUUCCUGGACCAAUACUGACGCUGAGGUGCGAAAGCGUGGGGAGCAAACAGCAUUAGAAACCCCAGUAGUCC